CACAGGAAUGGUGGAUGCAUUUUAACCUGAGAAUGACAAGCAGUUUUCAGUUUGCACAGCUGAGAGGAUGCUGAGAACUGUUAGAGCUGAGGAAGCAUGGAGGGGAGGAAGUUUUGCUUAUGUCGGGGAGUGGGAGGAUAGAUCCACUGAAGUCUGACAGCCACCCAUCCACUUUCAGGACAGUGUGAGAGGCGGCAUUGCCCGGUGUCUGUGGCUGGGAGCAAACAGCGGCUCCAGGCUCUAUUCUGCCCCUCGGUGGGUGACCCUGAGCAACCGCCCAAUGUGUGUGCUCGGUGGUCCUGUCUGGGGUGGUGCAUCCCAUGCAGAAAUGACACUCCUCUUCACUCGGUGGCCCUGUCUGGGUGGUGCAUCCCAUGCAGACGCUCAGUGGCCUUUUCUGGGGCGGUGCAUUCCAUGCAGAUGCUCAGUGGCCCUUUCUGGGGUGAUGCAUCCCACGCAGAUAUGACACUCCUCUUCCAUGAGAUCACCAUCGGUGCCUGAAACAUCACAGUUCAAUAGUCGAGUGCAGUAUAGGGUGGAGAUAUUGAGGCAGAGCUGAAGCUUCAUAAGUGGGUUAGAUUCAUCAUGUUUUACACAAAGACUUGCACUAGAGACCUUUGAUUGGAAUGAGAAGGAGGACGUGGCUCCACUAAGGAGAAGCUUCCUAUGAGAAGCAAUG
rnacentral:lncRNA from 1 species